AUUGAACGCUGGCGGCAGGCCUAACACAUGCAAGUAGAGCGGAGCGGCGGACGGGUGAGUAAUGCCUAGGACUCUGCCUGGUAGUGGGGGAUAACGUCCGGAAACGGGCGCUAAUACCGCAUACUAUAGGAUGAGCCUAUGUCGGAUUAGCUGGUUGUUGGGGUAAAGGCCUACAAAGGCGACGAUCAGUAACUGGUCUGAGAGGAUGAUCAGUAACACUGGAACUGAGACACGGCCCAGAUUCCUACGGGAGGUAGCAGUGGGGAAUAUUGGACAAUGGGCGAAAGCCUGAUCCGGCCAUGCCGCGUGUGUGAAGAAGGUCUUCGGAGUGUAAAGCACUUUAAGUUGGGAGGCGUUACCAACAGAAUAAGCACCGGCUAACUUCGUGCCAGCAGCCGCGGUAAUUC
rnacentral:rRNA from 1 species